CUUUGGAGGGAUGAAUUUUUAACGCGACGAACAAAUCGCGUGAAAAUCACUCGCGAGGCAACGUAAUGCUGUGUAUGACGGUGCCCUCGAUUGAAAUAGUCGGGAACAAUAAUAAGCGAUUUAUCGAAAGACGAGGCCUUCUUCUCGACACCAUCUCGAGGGCUCCUGAAAGAGAGGCCUCAGCACGUUGCAUCAGCAGAUGUAUCAGAUAAACAAGACGUAGGUUAUCUCUUCGGAUUAAGCUGCUGCUAAUUUAAUUUCUUAUACAUUUUUAAAGUACGCCGAUUACAACGAUCGUUUAUAUUGCUCAAGAAUAAGAAUAUGAUGUAUUUAAUGUACGAAGGUAAUAUCGGAAACUUCAGCGAUGGCAGCCCUCUUCAGUCUCCUGUCUCCAGAUUCUCUCUCGUUCAAUACUGUGGAGAAGAUAGAAGGAGUGAAAUAAUGGAAAGAGAAAGGGGAGUAUGCUCUACCCACUCCUUCCCUUUAUAGUGCAUUCUAAGGGCUUUCCCCUUCCUCACUCGGCACUCGCCGUCUACCCGAGUCUCCGAAUGUAAUAGCUCUGACAUACACCCACUAGCACACGUGCACGUUCUCCGUGUAACGGUCGAACGAGGACUGGACGCGUCUGCGAAGGGCCUGGGAAAAUGACUGGAUAAUCGACGUCCUACCACGGCUGCCUUCGACGCAUCGCUCGUCUGUAUCUCGAACGCGAGCGGGGUCAUAGGUCGCCGCUAUAAACCCACCGAUGUUAUUACAGGUGCAUGUAUGAA